ensembl:snRNA U6 U6 spliceosomal RNA
GUGCUCACUUCGGCAGCACACAUACUAAAAUUGGAACAAUACAGAGAAGAUUAGCAUAUACCCUGCACAAGGAUGACGUGCAAAUUCGUGAAGCAUUCCAUAUUUUU